CGCUUUCCUUUUUCAUCUUCCGUCUCGAACUCCCGAUCUAUUUCUCUCCAUCUUCCCCAUACCAAAACCGCUUCUUCUUCUUCUUCCUUCUCCUUCUCUAUCUAAAUUGUGUUUUCUUCUUUCCUUUCUUCUUCUUCUCUUGCUCGGUGACCUGGUUUUAGAGAUCUGGAACUCUCCUUUCUUCCUCAUUCAAUCAAAACAAGGUAAUCAAAGUUUUCUUAAACAAGACCAGAUUUAUUUUCUAAACAUUGUUAGAUGUAAAAUUUCAUAGUUAUUGUUUCUUCAAAAUAGGUGUUAAAUUUGGGUUUUUGUUUUCUGGGAUUAUGCGAGAAGUGUUUGUUAUCAAUAAAACUGUGAUUUUUAUAUAUCUUCAUGUCAAAGUUCAGGUUGAAAGCAAAAAAUUAAGGUUGCUGAGACUGUUUUUUGUGUUUUCUGCAUUGGGUUGUCCUUAUUUUUUCAAAAAUAUAUUUUUCAAAUAUUUACAUUUUGAAAAUGCAUUCAAGUAAUUUUCUGCCAUAAUCAAAUAGACAUUAAUGUUAUAGUGGUGAUUAUGCUUUUAUUUUGUUUCUUGGUAUGUCAUCAACAUACUUCAAAACCAACCAGCUGCGACAUGUGAUCAGUAGUGAUAUUUACAAUGAAUCUAAGCACCUGGCUUGAUCCCUAAGCCUGCACCCUGCUCCUUCCCUGCGAUUAACUAACUAUAAAUCCUUAGCCGUCCUUAGAAUAUUUUCGAUAAAGACACUCAAAUUAUCUUGAUUAUUUGGGACACUGGAAUUCAUCAACAAUUAACUUCAGAAAUAAAGACCAACACGUUUCAUGACUCGUAAGAUAGUGUAAAAAAUUAUAUUGAAACAUACCAGGUUAACGAGUGUGUUUUCAACAAAGGUCUAAUGGGUUUAUCUUUUACUAAUUGGAUCAUUUAGCAUUACACACAAGGGGUGAGCUGAUUGUUUUGUUAUUUUAACCAAUCUGAGAUCGGGUAUCUACUUUUCAGAAUGGAUGUAUUGGUGGCAUAUUCAUGCUCUAACCACCUUAAUUAAUGAUCUGUACAGAUGAAGCCAAUUGUUGGGAAGAGAUACAUGCAAACGGCUGUGAACCGUUCCGUCACCCAAGAUGUUUCAGUCAACAACACACACCAUUCCAUCUAUUUUGAGAUAAAGCCGAUCCUAUUUAGGUGGCCUUCGUGCACAUUCAGGACUAGAUGAUAAGGUUUUGGAAAAUGGUUUUGUACUGAAGACAAUGGUUUUCUAUCGACGUGUGCGUGUUUUGUUUCUAUUUCUUUUCUCCAUGUUCACUAUCAUGCCAAAAAAUGUAAAGGACGUUACAUAUCAAGUUUUGGAAGCUCUCAUGUAC
rnacentral:lncRNA from 1 species